rnacentral:rRNA from 1 species
GAUGAACGCUAGCGGCAGGCUUAACACAUGCAAGUCGAGGGGUAACGUGAGUGCUUGCACUUGACGACGACCGGCGAACGGGUGCGUAACGCGUAUAGAAUCUGCCUUGUACAGGAGGAUAGCCCAGAGAAAUUUGGAUUAAUACUCCAUAAUGUUAUGUAGUGGCAUCAUUAUAUAAUUAAAGAUUUAUUGGUACAAGAUGACUAUGCGUCCUAUUAGUUAGAUGGUAAGGUAACGGCUUACCAUGGCAUCGAUAGGUAGGGGGUCUGAGAGGAUUAUCCCCCACACUGGUACUGAGACACGGACCAGACUCCUACGGGAGGCAGCAGUGAGGAAUAUUGGACAAUGGGCGAGAGCCUGAUCCAGCCAUGCCGCGUGCAGGAAGACUGCCCUAUGGGUUGUAAACUGCUUUUAUACAGGAAGAAACCUACUUACGUGUAAGUAGCUGACGGUACUGUAAGAAUAAGCACCGGCUAACUCCGUGCCAGCAGCCGCGGUAAUACGGAGGGUGCAAGCGUUAUCCGGGAUCAUUGGGUUUAAAGGGUCCGCAGGCGGUCAAUUAAGUCAGAGGUGAAAUCUCACAGCUUAACUGUGAAACUGCCUUUGAUGCUGGUUGACUUGAGUCAUAUGGAAGUAGAUAGAAUAAGUAGUGUAGCGGUGAAAUGCAUAGAUAUUACUUAGAAUACCGAUUGCGAAGGCAGUCUACUACGUAUGUACUGACGCUCAUGGACGAAGCGUGGGGAGCGAACAGG